GUGGCGCACGGGUGCGUAACGCGUAUAGAACCUACCCUGUACAGGGGGAUAGCCCAGAGAAAUUUGGAUUAAUACCCCGUAGUACCUAUUAGAGGCAUUUUUAAUAGGUUAUAGUUUUCGAACGGUAUAGGAUGGCUAUGCGUCUUAUUAGCUAGUAGGUAAGGUAACGGCUUACCUAGGCUACGAUAAGUAGGGGCCCUGAGAGGGGGAUCCCCCACACUGGUACUGAGACACGGACCAGACUCCUACGGGAGGCAGCAGUGAGGAAUAUUGGACAAUGGGCGGAAGCCUGAUCCAGCCAUGCCGCGUGCAGGAAGACGGCCCUAUGGGUUGUAAACUGCUUUUAUACGGGAAGAAUAAGGGAUACGUGUAUCCUGGUGACGGUACCGUAAGAAUAAGGACCGGCUAACUCCGUGCCAGCAGCCGCGGUAAUACGGAGGGUCCGAGCGUUAUCCGGAAUUAUUGGGUUUAAAGGGUCCGCAGGCGGGCAAUUAAGUCAGAGGUGAAAUGGUGCGGCUCAACCGUAGCACUGCCUUUGAUACUGGUUGUCUUGAGUCAUGGUGGAGUGGCCGGAAUAUGUAGUGUAGCGGUGAAAU
rnacentral:rRNA from 1 species